AUUUUUUUAUGCUUUUGUGUUUUUUUUCUUCUAGGGAAUGAAGACCCAGAAAGUGUUUUAAACCAAGGAACAGAUCCAGGGCUUCAGCCAAUCAGAGUGAGGAUGGGGUUCAUCUACAACCUAUCCCAGGCCACACCUUCUCCUUGUUAAAAACUUCCUUUGGCUGCAGAACAUGGUGGCUGAUAUUCUUCUGUUUUAACAGCUGUGAAGUGGCUUAUGUUGAACUCUCAAUGCCGUGCAUUAUCUGAAGGUAACAGCAUUAUCUUCAUUUGAACAACAAGGAACAUGUGGUGGAUCAGCAAAGAGCGCCAGACACAAAGCAAACAGAUCGGACCCAGACUCCCCUUCCCAGAACAUGACCUCAGUUCUCAUCCAGUUAGAAAACUGCAGCAUCAGUCAGCCAUUGAUUGACAGAUGUAAUAUUCCAGUCGCUGGUGGAGUGAUAAGACAGCAGUCUUGAACAAACGCUUCUUGACCCUGACUGGCCGUUGCCAUGACUUCUAUUCCCAUGACUCCUGUUCCCAUGGUUCCUCAACCUUAAAGGGAAGUUUGUCUGAUUAGAUGAACAAUGGUGUUAUUUUGGGUGGUUCCUCCUUUUCCGUCUUGUUUUGCUUUUGGUUGUAAAUGUGCUCAUAUACACAUCGACACAUUUCUUUGUAUUUAUAUUUAUGAUUUAUUCCUUCUAAUAUGGCUUUUAUAGACUUCGAACACUAAUAAAUGAGACUGAUUUUCAAACUCAA